rnacentral:pre_miRNA from 1 species
UACAUACUCCCUCCAUCCCAAAAUUCUUGUCUUAGAUUUGUCUAAAUACUAAAACGUAACUAGAUACAUCCGUAUUUAGACAAAUCUAAGACAAGAAUUUUGGGACGGAGGGAGUACAAA